UCCGCGCCGCCAUCUCACCCCGCUUCGACAUCUUGGCGCCGGAAGAGAAGGCCGCGCGCGCGGCACGCCGGGAAAUGAGGCCGUCGCGCAGCCCCGCCCCUCCCAGGUCACCUCCAGAGCAGCUCUUCCCAUGGGCGCUGUGGGGACGGACAGCCCAGGCCUUCGAGGAGCCAGGCGUGGAGCUUUGAGGACUAGGAGUCUACCAGAAAAGCAGGACCGAGAGCCACAAACAGAUAUUUUACAAGCUGAUGAAAAACAUUUGCAGCUAGCUGAUUUAUGUGACUGUUUCAUCGCUCCUGCUCGGAAAAGCUUUAUCAGGAGAGCUGCUGUAGAGCAGCAUAUCUCGAGCCGCACUCUUGACAGUAAGUCAAGAAAUGAAUUUUUCUGCAUUAUUAGAAAGAUUUGCCCUUGUCCAUUUUUUUUGCCUCCAGAGUAAUUUUCAGCCCUAAGUGAUUUUGCAAAUCCCAGUGUAAUUUAUCCACAGCAUGAAAGAAUUUGUUUGCCUAGUGGCAGUAAAUGAUUUUUGAUUUA